CUGGCCCUCUCUGCCCUUCUG
rnacentral:miRNA from 1 species